rnacentral:lncRNA from 1 species
AGGCGGAGAAGGGAUAUGCGUUUCAGGAUACAGGAAAUACGGUCAGCGCGAAACCCGGAGGAAGCUCUGUGCCUGGAGGGGACCCGCCGCCAUCUCAGGUCUCAGCCUCGCGGGGCCCACCACAGAGAGCUGACGCCCUGUCCUAAGAAUCCUUAUGGGUGACCAACCUUGUUUCUCCGGGAGAUCCACGCUCCCACCUGGAAACACGCGGGAAACCAGGCCUCCAAAAAAGCGCUGCCUCCUAGCUCCACGGUGGGAUUAUCCAGAGGGAACCCCCAACGGAGGUAGUACCACUCUUCCCUCUGCACCUUCUCCUUCAUCACCCGGCCUGAAAUCGCACCCUCCUCCUCCGGAGAAGUAGUAGAAUGUACUUCUCCCACCCAAACCAGUCUCUGAGGGAUUGCAGAAUGACUCCAUUUCCUUGGUGCAUUCAUAAAAUGGUUCACCCUGUGAAGAUGAUGAAGACUAUUGACAAUGCUGCCCUGAUUUUUCUGAUGUCCUACACCAGCUCCUGGCCUUCCCUUCACCUGUGUGCUGGAUCCGAGAUUCCACCCCGGCUCCAGGGCUGAGGAAGGCACUCAGAAACCCCAGGGACAGCCUGAGAUGGCUGAGCCCUGGAGUUGCCUAGGACUGCCAAGCACCAGAGUCCCGGCCCCAGAAUCUCCAAAGGCCCCCGCUCCCAGUGUGGAAAGGGGCCUCCUGAUGCCUGAGUGCCCCAGCGUGGCACCCACCUACUCAGCACAAAGGACACCAGAGGAAACGCCCCCAGGUCCCUGCAUUCAGGGGGAGGAGCUAGUCGGAUCACCAUCCACAUCUACUUGUUCCCAUCUCCUGCUUUUGCUUCUAUGCAAUAUAAAGAUUUAAAAAUAAAAUAAAAUAUAAUAAAUUUAUAUUUUUAUUGUAAUAUCGUAUGUGAGAUUAAUCAUUGUUAGCCUUCCUCUUGUACUAUAUUUGUAUAUUAUACAUCUUAUAUUACUUGGGAAUUUUUCUUUGAAUUUGUAACGUUAUUUACCUAUGAGUUGUAAACAGUUUUAUUUUUUUUUAUUGGUUGAUCAUUUUCUCUGACAUUAAAUUCCCUUCGUUGCAUGAAAAUAAUUACCUUUGGAUUGUUCUUGUCUAGAUAGGGACUUCAGCAUUAUGGGCUUUUUGAGGCCCCGUUUUAUUGUGUUUUCAAAAAUAAUGUGAAUAUUGUGUGCAAAAUACAGGAUAGUCAAAUUAUUUCCCAGGUUCAAAUCGAUGUUCUAGAUUUUCCACAAAUCUUAGAACUCUAAUAUCCAUGUAGAAAAAUAUUAAAAUAAUGUUACCUAUGUCACUUUUUCCUUCAGUCAUAUCUACGAGUCCUUCCUUUGGAAAGAUUUCACUUCUUAGGGAAAUUGAAAAUAGUAUUACCUUUGCAUGCUAGUCACCACUCUUUGAUCGCAUAAUAUUUGCUGCCUUGGCCCCUACAUAAUUCCAUGAUGCUGACUGUAAUUGAGUCGGUUCCCUUGUGUCCUGGUCACUUCUUCUCCUCCCUGGUACUGGCGUUUUCAGUAUGUUCUGUCUGUUACCCAGGAUCCUGAUGCACUGCUGCUUCCUGCUCUUCAGGAUCACACUGUCUAUAAGUUGUGUUAUUUCUGUGAUGUCCUUUAUUUCCUGUGUUUUAAGUCUUGCCUUUGACUUGUCAUCUGGGGAUGCAUUGUGUCUCACCCCUUGUGUCCUAAGUUGUGGUUUCACUGGGGCUGAUCUGCUGUUACCUUGAACCCUUCCCAGAAUUCCUGAUUUGUGGUUUUAAACUUCUGUGGCCAUACACACACACACACACACACACACACACACACACACACACCCUGCCCCCCCCUCCAUUCUGCAGACACCUACCCCGCACCAGCCCCCACUGCUUCCUGCAACUGACACAUAUACACAAGGUCAUCUCCUUCCCACUCCUGAGCUUUUCCCCAGCACUUGAGCCCAUGCAGCUCCCUUGGACAGAAACAUUUUCCACUUGAUGGGAGUAUGGCUCCACGAAUGAAUGCCAACAGCAUUCAUGUGUGUGGUU